rnacentral:lncRNA from 1 species
CUAGCUACUCUCUAAGGCUGAUAUUUCCAAACAGCCACAACAAUAAAACCACUGACAGGUGAAUGAAUAACAUUGCAAAAAACAGAAGAUAAGUCACCAAUAGAGGUGUAUGGGUAAGUUAGGAGCUUAUAUGGUGAACCUCACAACUAAAAUAGAUAAAGCAUACACUUAUACAAGGUAAAAGAAAAAGGGCAAGCUCCACACUUAGAGAAGAUAAAUACCACCUGAUAUCAUAUCUAGAGAAAACAAAAAUGGUACAUAGCGUUAUACAGUACAGAAAGAGGGGCAAAACAGGGAGGGGGGAAGUGAGUACUCUUGUGAGAACUCACAAGAAUUCGGUAAAUUCAAGCUUGUCUCCCCAAAGAAGGGGUAAAAUACGUCUGAUGGUGCUUCAACUGUAGGUUAUAAAAAGGAGGAGAGCCAAUAGCGUAAUAAAAUUAAAACAACACUUUUAAUGAUUAAAAAUGCACUUACAAGACGGCAAUAUGUUCAGUCAUCUCUCCACCCAAAGUGGAUCGGGAACAGAACACACUGCAAAGGGUUUGAUGGAACAGGAACAAAAACCAGAAAGUGAACAAUAAUAAUACAAAGAACCAAAUAAAAGUCCCAACAAACAUCCAAGGCGUUCCUCAGGGAUCUGGGACACUGUAACCACUUCUCACUUUAUAUAUGCCUCCUGAUUUCAGACCUUCGAUCAGCUGGCACUAAAGUGCGUUCCACCGUGAAACGCAAUUCGCUUCCUGUAGACUGAUGUCAUUUCCGGCUUUCGGCUGUAUCCAUCUGACGUACGGAAUGAAACUUGCACAUGCUAUUAGACUAGGAACAGUUGGUUCAUUUAACCAGGAUCCUGAGCUCUGGCAACUAAUAUGUAUCUGUGUGAUACAUUUAUCUAACAAGCAUCUAUCUAAGCGCCAAGUGGCUCUCGGUGAUCCUGGUAGAUAGUUAAAUCUAAGUAUUCAUUAUUAGACCAGGAAUGAUUAGUUUAUUUAACCAGGAUUCUGAGCUUUGGCAACAUUUCACUCAUUUAUGCCACUAAUUAUUAUUAUGAGAGGGGGGAUGUAACUAUAAAUAGGACAAUUACAAGAAAACUUGCAGAAACGAUAGGUUGAAAAGGACCCUGCUCAAACGAGCUUACAGUCUAUAAGAGGUGGGGUAUAAGACACAUUAGGACAGGAAAUAUCAAUCAAAUAAGGUGGGAGUGAAUCAGAGCUGCCCUAUAGGAGAGAGCAAGAGACAGGUGUGUAAGGUAGAGGUUAAGCUUCCCUAAAGAGAUGAGUUUUAAGGCACUUCUUAAAGGAUUGAAGACUGGGGGAGAGUCUGAUGGGGGUAGGCAGGCUAUUCCCUUGGAAGGGAGCCGCCCGUGAGGUGUCCUGCAAGCGCGAGUUGGCUAUACGGGUGCAAGCAGCGGUCAGGAGGUGGUCACGGACAGAGCGGAGGGAACGAGGAGGGGCAUACCUAUGGAUCUGUGAAGAGCUAUAAAAGAGGGGCUAGAAUUGUUCAGUGCUUUAUAAGUACGGGUUAGCACUUUGAAUUGACUCCUAUAGGAUACAGGAAGCCAAUGUAAGGACUGACAGAGGGGUGAGAUGUGAGAGGACCGACUAGAGAGGAAAAUCAGUCUGGCGGCAGCAUUCAUUACAGACUGUAGCGGGGCAAUACGGCUUUUGGGAAGACCAAUUAGGAGAGGGUUACAAUAAUCCAUGCGGGAUAAUACUAGAGCAUGGACAAGCUCCUUGAAAGCAUCUUGCGUAAGAAAGGGGCGGAUGCGGGCUAUGUUUUUAAGUUGGAAUCUACAGCAUAUGGCAACAAACGGAAUGUGAGGCUCAAAGCUGAGGCCAGAGUCAAGUAUGAAGCCAAGACAGCGUGCUUGCAAGGAUGGACUUAUGUGGAUAUCACUGACUUGAAGGGAGAUUGAGAGAGGAGGAUCAGUAUUAGGAGAAGGAAAGACAAGUUCAGUUUUAGCGAGAUUGAGUUUCAGAAAGCGGGAGGACAUGGAAGAAAGGCAAGCAGUGACACGUUGCCGGACGGCAGGGGAGAGGUCUUGGGAGGGGAGAUAUAUUUGGGUGUCAUCAGCGUACAGGUGGUAGUGGAAUCCAAAAGAGGCAAUAAGUUUGCCAAGAGAGGCAGUAUAAAGAGAAAAUAGAAGGGGACCAAGGACAGAGCCUUGGGGAACUCCAACCGAGACAGGAUGAGGGUAGGAGGUAUCCUUGGAAAAGGAGACACUGAAUGAACAUUGGGAGAGAUAAGAGGAAAACCACAAAAGGACAGAGUCACAGAGACCAAGUGACUGAAGAGUUUGAAGGAGGAGAGCAUGAUCAACGGUGUCAAAGGCAGCAGAGAUCUGUGCGAUACAUUUAUCUAACAAGCGUUGAUCUGUGCGCCAGCAAUUUACAAGGGGCUUUUGGUGAUCCUGGUAGAUAGCUAAGUCUAAAAUUCUAUUAUUAGACUAGGAACAGUUGGUUCAUUUUAAAUUUUUUUAAAUAAAUCUUUAAUUUUGCAGUGCAUAAAGAUAUCACAAGCAGGCAUGAGGUGCCCCAAAAGCAGUCCUCUGGCAAAUUCCUCGCUAAACAUGCGGGACAAGAGAUUAACAGGCACAUUUUUAUAUUAUAUGCAGUUUAGGUUCGAUUUUUAAGAGUAGGUUUGCAUGGUAAUAAAGCUUGGUCAGUGUUUAAGCUAGUCUAUGGUCAACACAGAUUAUGCAUAUAUACAACGUUAGCUAUAUAGACAGGCUAGUACAGUUUAAUUAUGAGUGGUAUUCAGGCUAGAUUUAGAUAAGUCGCUUUAAUACUAUUAUCACCCAGGCCGACCGGGACCACCGGAACUGCCUCUGCGGGGAGCCGUCGUCAUGGCGGUCCUGAGACCUCACACACAGGGGGAGUGCCACUACUAUCUGAUACCUGCUCUGUCCGUUUUGUGUAGCAGGGGGCGAGUGUAUGCCAGAGCAGGCAUCAGAACACAGUCCAGCCGUGCCGCAUCGUAAGUUUCUCGCUGGUGUCUCUGGGGCUGCAGCUGCGUUCCAGUGUGCUUGUCCCUCUUGGUCCACUGAGGGUCGGAGUCAGCCAUGGUGGGGAGCUCGGUGUCGUUUGCAUGUGGUCGUCGGUUUGUGGGUCGUUUUGUUACACGCUGGGUGGGAGGUGAGUAAGAGUUCUGUCUCCGCACAGUGUUGUCCCGCUUGUCGACAGGCUCGGUCUGUUCAGGCGGGAAAGGUUGGUGCGCUGGGUAGUCCCAACCCCCUGUGCAGCCGUCGUUGUUGCUGGUUUAGAUGGCUGCGGGGGUAGGUAGCAGUUAUCACGCUUCCCGGUAUAGCAGGGUCUGGAGUUAGGGACCGCAGUGUAAUCCGUGGGCUCAGAGAGGGUGCCGGUCCUCCCUUCGUCUCCUGCGCACAUGGUGCCCGCCAUCUUGGACGUAGCGGUCGGACCCCCGGCUUUGGCCGCGUUAUCGGGGGGGAGGGGGAGGGGGAGCUAGGUCCACCUGGAUUAGAGCCCCAUGCUGGGUUCUGUGUUGCAGGAUAGUGGGGCAGCGGCCGUCCGCCCCACUCACCGCCGGAGAAGGCCUCAGUUGUGGUAAUGAAAGUUUCUCCUCUUGGGGACUGAAGCUCGAUGAGCCAGCC